UAAAUAAAACAGUGACAUAACGCAUCUCCCUCUUCGUGUUUGCAAAUUUAAGAUUAAAUAGUAGUGUGUUUGAGAAAAUGCCGAGUCCGAGUGCCCUUGUCCUGUUGCAAAUUCACAGAGCAAUUUGGUGAUAGAUGUGAAGACUUAACACAGUUGUCUUCUCUCAGAAGAAAAUCAGAAAUGCUCACAAACAUUCACAUUUAAGAAUUCUCAUUUCAGGGGUGCAUAGGUGACUCAGUCCAUUGAGAGCCCGACUCUGAUUUUGGCUCAGGUCAUGAUCCCAGGGUUGUGGAAUCCAGCUCCAUGUAGGGCUCCACGCUGGACAGCGCAGAGCCUGCUUCAGAUUCUGUUCUUCCCUCUUCCUCUGCACCCCCCCCAACCCCACACACGUGUACGCUCUCUAAAUUAAAAAAAAAAAAAAAAAAGAGUUCUCAUUUCAGUGUUAUAAAUGAAAGUAAAAACGGAGAAACGCCAUAAAUAUCUAGCCUUAGGGAAGUAGUUGAAUUAUGUGACAUCAGUAAAAUGAAAUAACGUGCAUCCUUGGGCCACAUUUUUAAAAAUCAUUACUUGUUCAUAUUGUGAAAACAACAGGAAUAAAAUUAGUAUGAUCAAUACAACCCCAAUUUUAGGUGGAAAGACUAAAAUUGAAAAUGACUGAAAGGAAAUAUACCAAAAGAUAAACAAAUUAUUUUUUCUAGUCAGAUUUAGGUGACGAUAAUUUUUAUCCUUUAUACUUAUAUGUAUCUCUGAGCAACACUGUGAACGUGAAUUGCUUUUAUAAUCAUUAAAAAUAGUAAAUGUUAUUUUUGAAAGAAUCACCUUGUAUGUCCAAAUUAUCACUAAAUCUGAGUUAAUGACAUCUAAAUUAAGAACAUUUUCAUAAUAAAGCUUGAAUAGUAUAGUAUUAUAUGCACAGUGGGAAUUCAGUAUAUUAUAUUGAUAAGUUUCAUUUAUAGCAAGAUGCUAAAUAUAGGCUUAAAAAGGAAAUUAUUUUCCAGAGAUUUCCGGAUAAGUAAUUGUUGCAAAACAGGUUGUGUUUCAGCCUGAAACAACCUGGCAGCAGGAUUUAGUAGAGUGCUUAUAAUCACAUCAACUGGCACACUUUUCUAGGUAUGUCAACACAGUUUGGGUAUCAUGGGGGGCAGUUUGUGUUCCCCAUAGCUUUGUAAAUUCUUAACAGCUUCGCAGAUAGUCUGACAAAAAGACUACAUUUAUAGAAAUGGGAGAAAAUGCAUUCAGGUACUUACAGCAUCUUUUUGAGGUGUGUGUGUGCAUGUGUGUGUGUGUGUGCGUGCGUGUGGUUUUGGUGUGGUGUGUGUGCGUGUGUUUUCCAAUGAAGUAUUCCUUUUGAAGUUCAGAGCUUAGGCAGAGAAAGCACGAGUUUGGUGGGUAUAACUUUCAAAUGCUUAAAACAGCAACUUUAAUCUCAAGUUAUGAUUGACAUCAAGCAAAAUGCAGACUCUCUUUGUUCUGUGUGUGUGUGUGUGUGUGUGUGUGUUGUUUAAUGUAAGGAAAAGGUUUGAAAAGUUCAACUGUAGACACUAAUGAAUUUGGCAUCCUUCAAGAUGUGUCUCAUAAGGAGCAACUCUAAUGACAGGCCCAUGACACAUGCUCUAAGGGAAUGUGACAACAGUCCCAGUUGGGAGGCCUGCUGUUGCAGAGACCUGCUUUCAGCUCCCAAACUCUGCCCUGGGGAGAGCAGGAUGUGUAGCCCUCUGGUAACCAGGCUGAGAGCCUCAGAUAUGGCAUCACACAGGCCUUUCAACAAUGACAAAAAUGAUCCGUGGGUCAAGGUGGCCAUAAACCGCCCACAUCAGAUUAUAUCAUUACACAGAGACGAGGUUACCUGAAGGAAGAGUAGGAAAGAUUUACCUUCUGGUAAUUUUGUUUUCUUGAUGUUUUUGGAAAAGGUUCAGGUUUUUUGUUUCUUUUGUCAACUUCCCUAAUAGUAUAUAAGUGGCUAUAGAUGGGCACCGCAGCUUUGAUUGAGUGCUGACCCCAAAGAUUUAUGAAAGUUUACAGCAGAAAAAAAAAAAAAAGCUCUUCGAAGAUGACUCAAGUCACAUGGAACCUCUGUGGCCUUUUGAACCUUUGAUCAUCUCAAAAUAAAAGGCAUAUAACUUUUGAUCACAUAAUUGUGCAUGGACCAUAUUAUGUUUACAUUGGCUUCUAGACUCAGCUCCCUCAUUUCCAUUUUACACACCUCUAUUAGUUUCUACUUCCUAAUGCCCCUGUCCAUGCCUCUCUCCACUAUGGUCCUUUGAUCAUUUGGUCAUUUGUUUAUUUAUUUGAGUAUGCAACAGGCAUUUAUUGAGCACCAACCAUGUAUCAGGCAUCUUAGCAUCAGAGAUCAGGAAAUUAUCAUCAUGGUCCCUAAUCUCAAGGAGCCAACACUCUAAUUGGGGCACAGGAAAGGAAACUAAUUCACUAGGCAAUUGCUGCAAUAAAGCUGCCUAUAAAUGAUUACACAGUACAGUGGAUUGCAACAAUACACAUUUACUCUUACACCACAGAAUCUGCAGGUCAACUAUAGUUUGGCAGAUCUAGGUUGGGAGCUGUCUUUUCAGCUUUAAGUCAGCUGUGUUUGGCUCCAGACUGUGGGUUGGGCUCAGAUCUUCUUCAUGUGUGUUUAUUCUGAGGCCCAGGUGGAAGGGACAGUAGAUUCUCCGGGGCGUGCUUUUCUCAGGCAGGUCACAGAGUAAAGACCCAAACUAAGCCACGCGAGCACAUUUAAUAUAACGCCUGCUAACAUUUUAACAGCUGAAGCAAGUUACAUUGUUAAGCCCAGUGUCAAUGGAGUAGGGAAAUCUGUUCCACCCACUCUAGUGCAUUAUAGGCAGCACGGUAGAGGAAGGGCAUGAAUAAUUGGCAAGAUAAGAAUCUACCACACAAAUGAUGACAAUCAGGUAUGAUAAACAGUACAAGAGAAGUAUAGUCAAGGUUUUGAGGAGGUACAGAGAAAUACCAUAGAGGAGGGGCAUGUCAAUCACAGUUGAACCAGGAAAGCAAAGGCAGUAGGAUAGAUAAAUAGGUGAUGUAUAGAUGGAUAAAUAGAUGAAUGGAAGAUACAGAGAGAGAGAGAUACAUACAUGCAUACAUACAUACAUACAUACAUACAUAGUUGUUACAGGGCUUUAACUCUACACAGCAUGGGAAAGCAGUGUCUAUAAGGUUUUUCUGCAUCUGAUGAUGGAACUUGACAUUCACAGCCAAACAGUCAAAAAGGGGAAAUGGAUGCAGAGUAGGGGAGAUCAAGGACAGACUGGAACCCCCAAACACUGAAUGUUUGCAUGCAAGGAUGGACUGAGACAUGCGUCUGUUCUUGUUGCCUCUGCCUUGGGGACCUGGAUGAUAGAGGUAAACACGCACCUGGCCCGGAAGUCAGAGAAGCCCAGGGAGGAUCUGGGGAAGGCAGAGUGGGCUUGGCUGCUGCUUCACACCAAGGAGGCAAGUCAGUACAUCAGCAAUAAUGUGUGCGAGCUACAGAAUGACUGUUUCUUCCCUUCUGUCCUUCACAUCUCCCAAGAAUCUUCCUGUAGCUCACCCUAACCAGAAACAUUAAAAGGAGAAGAAGGAGAAGAAGGAGAAGGAAAAGGAGAAGGAAGAGGAGGAGGAAGGAAAUUGAAAACUGGGGAAAUGUAGUUCAGCAUAGCCCAGUGGACACAUGACAGGGCCACCAAAGGGAAACCUAAUCCAACUAUCAGAAAGAGUAAAUUAGAAAGUACUUUCAGUGAAGGUGAUAUUUGAACUAAAUCUUUAAGGAUGAGCGGGAGUUAACCAGGAAGGAGGAAUGUCCAUUUAGGCAGGUACAAAGCAUGAGAAAGGUAGGCUCAAGAAUAUGGAAGUCCUGGUGUGGGAAGCAGCAUAGCCAAAGCCACCAAGAACACAUCAUAGUCAAAGUUGGGUUUAACUUAUUACAGCAAAGGAGAAUGCACACCAGGAGUAUGACGGGGCAUCUUAGGGAAGGAGUUGGAAGAGGCUUACUAUAGAAAACAGGGCUCGUGCACAUGCUGAGGAAGUUUAAAGAUGUGAGAGUCAGUUCCCAUUAGCUGUUUUUAAGAAGUAUCGGGCUAUUGUGAUGGACUGAACCAUUCUCCACUCCCCAAAUCCAUAUACUGAAGUCCUAACCCCCAGAAUGUCAGAAUGUGCCUGUAUUUGAAGGUGGGGCUUUUAAGUAGGUAACGAAGGUUAACAAGAUCCUAAGGGUUAGAUCCAAUAGAAUUGGUGUCAUUCUAAGGAGAGGAAGAGACCCCAGGGAUGUAUGUGCACAGAAGAGAGGCCAUGUGAGGACACAGAGCUACAAGCUGAGGAGAGAGUUGUCUGGAGAAACCAAACCUUCCAACACCUUGAUCUUGGACUUCCAGCUUCCAGAUCUGUUGCUUAAGCCCCCCGCCCAGUCUGUGUUCUUUUGUUACAGCAGCUCCCACAGACUCAUACAGGUAUCCUGGUAGCUUUUGUCUAGAAAGCAGGAGAACUAAAGCAGAGCUAGAGUCGAAGGGGAUGUGUCAUUAUUUUUGUGUUUGCAGUGCCUUUGUCUCUCUCCUGUUGCACAUGGUCUCAAAGUCUGGUUAUUUUUAUAUUCUGCGAGAGUUGUUUGUGUUUAGUUGGGAACAUCAUGGCCUACCUGUCAGCUACCAGCUGCCGAAGCUGUUUUUCGACUUCUCGUUGGCAUCUGUGGAGAGCGGUCUCACUCACUGAUCCAGAAAUUACACUGAGUCUCCAAUGCUUAUUUUGUUGACUACAGAUGCCACUGCUCGAUUCACCAGAUUCGCAGCCUGGCCUUGCUCUCCCUCAUUUCUCUUCUUCCCCCACAUUCUCCAGUACUUGUGCUCUUCUACUCAGACUUUCUUUUCACUGUCACCCACGUGUGAACUGUCCUCAGACUGGUCUCUCCUGCUGGGGGUGUCCUCACACUUUCCUUCCACAUCCUCCUCCAAAGCAGGCAUACCUUUUGAGAUUCUCCACGAAGGGCUCUCACAUUACUCUAGCCAAGCCUUACUGUGUCUCCUUCCUUGGAACUCCUAUGGCUCAUAAAACAUCACAGCAGUAGACACUCUUGUUCUUUGUCCCUUUGGAUAAGUUCUGUGUUUCUAACAGGAAUAUCCACUCUCUGAGGGCAGGGACCUUUCUAGAACCUUUUUUUUUUUUUUUAAAAGGCUGGGGCGUGGAGCCCAGCACAGGGCUUGAACUCAGGACCCUGAGAUCAAGAAUCGGCCGGCGGCUUCACCUACUGAGCCGCCCAGGCAUCUCUAGAACCUCUAUUGAAUUCGAUUGUAGGUAAAUAACAUUGUAGUCCCUCAGCUACAAAAAGCGUAGUUGGUUUAUUACAUCAUAGUUUUGUUUCCUUUUUAAGCUGGGACCAUAUUAUGACAUCUUUGUGUUUCCUUUGCUGCUGGAAUGGUGUCCUUGACUUACUCCUGUAUUCAGCCAGCCAGCCAGCCAGCCAGCAAGUAUUUUUGAGUGCCUAUUUUUGUGCUCAGCACUUGAUGUUUAAGCCAAGUCCUGAAGGAUACGCAGAAAUAAACCUGAUAGCUACUGCCUGGACAGUGUGGGAUAAAGAAGAGAAAAAGCCUGACUUCCAUCAGAGGAUGGAAGUGAUAAGAAGAUAAGUUGCUCUAGACCUUGGGGACUCCAGUGAGUGACAGGCAAGUAAGGCAGGACAUCCCUGGCACAGAUGCCUUUACUUGCCAGCUCCUGGAGCCGUGGCA